rnacentral:rRNA from 1 species
GACGAACGCUGGCGGCGUGCUUAACACAUGCAAGUCGAACGGAAAGGCCCUGCUUUUGUGGGGUGCUCGAGUGGCGAACGGGUGAGUAACACGUGAGUAACCUGCCCUUGACUUUGGGAUAACUUCAGGAAACUGGGGCUAAUACCGGAUAGGAGCUCCUGCUGCAGGGUGGGGGUUGGAAAGUUUCGGCGGUUGGGGAUGGACUCGCGGCUUAUCAGCUUGUUGGUGGGGUAGUGGCUUACCAAGGCUUUGACGGGUAGCCGGCCUGAGAGGGUGACCGGCCACAUUGGGACUGAGAUACGGCCCAGACGCCUACGGGAGGCAGCAGUGGGGAAUAUUGCACAAUGGGCGGAAGCCUGAUGCAGCAACGCCGCGUGCGGGAUGACGGCCUUCGGGUUGUAAACCGCUUUCGCCUGUGACGAAGCGUGAGUGACGGUAAUGGGUAAAGAAGCACCGGCUAACUACGUG